UACGAAGGGGGCUAGCGUUGUUCGGAAUUACUGGGCGUAAAGGGCGCGUAGGCGGCGUGUCAAGUCAGGCGUGAAAGCGCUGGGCUCAACCCAGGAAGUGCACUCGAAACUGGCGGGCUUGAAUAUGGAAGAGGGUCGCGGAAUUCCCGGUGUAGAGGUGAAAUUCGUAGAUAUCGGGAGGAACACCAGUGGCGAAGGCGGCCAGCUGGGCCGUCCCUGACGCUGAGGCGCGAAGGCGUGGGGAGCGAACGGG
rnacentral:rRNA from 1 species